GCUGGUGUAGCUCAGUUGGUAGAGCAACUGCCUUGUAAGCAGUAGGUCGGCGGUUCGACUCCGUUCACCAGCUCCA
rnacentral:tRNA from 32 species